CGUUGAUUACGUCCCUGCCCUUUGUACACACCGCCCGUCGCUACUACCGAUUGAAUGGCUCAGUGAGGCUUUCGGACUGGCCCAGAGAGGUUGGCAACGCUCAUCUAGAGCCGGAAACUUGUUCAAACUUGGUCAUUUAGAGGAAGUAAAAGUCGUAACAAGG
rnacentral:rRNA from 1 species